rnacentral:rRNA from 1 species
ACACGUGGACAACCUACCCUUGGGUUCGGCAUAAUCCUGGGAAACUGGGGAUAAUACCGGAUAGGUCACAGAUGCUGGAAUGCACUGUGGCUCAAAGCUCCGGCGCCCAAGGAUGGGUCUGCGGCCUAUCAGGGUUGUAGUGGGUGUAAUGUACCUACUAGCCUACGACGGGUACGGGUUGUGAGAGCAAGAGCCCGGAGAUGGAUUCUGAGACACGAAUCCAGGCCCUACGGGGUGCAGCAGGCGCGAAAACUUUACAAUGCGGGAAACCGUGAUAAGGGAAUCUCGAGUGCCAGCAUAUAAUGUUGGCUGUCCAGAUGCCUAAAAAGCAUCUGUUAGCAAGGGCCGGGCAAGACCGGUGCCAGCCGCCGCGGUAACACCGGCGGCCCGAGUGGUAACCGCUAUUAUUGGGUCUAAAGGGUCUGUAGCCGGCCAGGUAAGUCCCUUGGGAAAUCUGGCAGCUCAACUGUCAGGCUGCUAGGGGAUACUGUUUGGCUUGGGACCGGGAGAGGUGAGAGGUACCUUGGGGGUAGGGGUGAAAUCUUGUGAUCCUCGGGGGACCACCAGUGGCGAAGGCGUCUCACCAGAA